rnacentral:rRNA from 1 species
AGGGUUCGAUUCUGGCUCAGGAUUAACGGCUGGCGGCAUGCCUAAUACAUGCAAGUCGAAUGAGAAGCUUGCUUCUCAUGGCGAACGGGUGAGUAACACGUAGGUAACCUGCCUUACACUCGAGGAUAACCGUUGGAAACGACGGAUAAUACUGGAUAGGACAAAGAUUCGCAUGAAUCGUUGUUUAAAAGUAAUGGUGUAUGAGGGGCCUGCGGUGCAUUAGCUAGUUGGUGAGGUAACGGCUCACCAAGGCGAUGAUGCAUAGCUGGACUGAGAGGUUGAACAGCCACAAUGGGACUGAGAACGGCCCAUACUCCUACGGGAGGCAGCAGUAGGGAAUUUUCGGCAAUGGGGGAAACCCUGAACCCGAGCAAUGCCGCGUGAACGAUGAAGUAUUUCGGUAUGUAAAGUUCUUUUAUUAGGAAAGAUAGUGACGGUACCUAAUGAAUAAGCUCCGGCUAACUACGUGCCAGCAGCAGC